GAUGAACGCUGGCGGCGUGCCUAAUACAUGCAAGUCGAGCGAACAGACGAGGAGCUUGCUCCUCUGACGUUAGCGGCGGACGGGUGAGUAACAUGUGGAUAACCUACCUAUAAGACUGGGAUAACUUCGGGACACCGUUGCUAAUACCGGAUAAUAUCUUGAACCGCAUGGUUCAAUAGUGAAAGCCGGCUUUGCUGUUACUUAUAGAUGGAUCCGCGCCGCAUUAGCUAGUUGGUAAGGUAACGGCUUACCAAGGCAACGAUGCGUAGCCGACCUGAGAGGGUGAUCGGCCACACUGGAACUGAGACACGGUCCAGACUCCUACGGGAGGCAGCAGUAGGGAAUCUUCCGCAAUGGGCGAAAGCUUGACGGAGCAACGCCGCGUGAGUGAUGAAGGUCUUCGGAUCGUAAAGCUCUGUUAUUAGGGAAGAAAAAAUUUGUAAGUAACUAGGCACGGCUUGACGGUACCGAAUCAGAAAGCCACGGCUAACUACGUG
rnacentral:rRNA from 1 species